GACGAACCGUGCGAACGUUGUUCGGAAUCACUGGGCUUAAAGGGCGCGUAGGCGGGUGACCAAGUCAGGGGUGAAAGUCUUUCGGCCCAACCGGAAAAGUGCCUCUGAUACUGGUCGUCUUGAGGGAGGUAGGGGUCGAGGGAACUGGUGGUGGAGCGGUGAAAUGCGUAGAUAUCACUAGGAACGCCGGUGGCGAAAGCGCUCGACUGGACCUCUUCUGACGCUGAGGCGCGAAAGCCAGGGGAGCAAACGGG
rnacentral:rRNA from 1 species